rnacentral:ncRNA from 1 species
CUCUGGUUCGACAUGAUGAUGUCCAAGGAGCCAGGGCGGAAAGAG